UCGAGAAUAGUCUACAAUGGACGGAAGUCUGAUAGUGCGACGCCGCGUGAACGAAGAAUCCCUUCGGGGUGUAAAGUUCUUUUAUACGUGAGCAGUGUCCUUUAUAUUAAUAGUAUAAGGGGAGAGAUAUUAGCGUAUGAAUAAGCAACGGCUAACUCCGUGCCAGCAGCCGCGGUAACACGGGGGUUGCGAGCGUUGUCCGGAAUUACUAGGCGUAAAGUGCAGGUAGGCGGAUAAAUAAGUUUAAGGUUAAAGGCUACGGCUUACCCGUAGUAAGGCGUUAGAUACUGUUUAUCUGGAAUGCGGUUGAGGGAGACAGAAUUCCUGGUGUAGCGGUGGAAUGCGCAGAGAUCAGGAGGAAUACCGAAGGCGAAGGCAGUCUUCUAAGCCGAUAUUGACGCUAAACUGCGAAGGUGUGGGGAUCAAACAGG
rnacentral:rRNA from 1 species